AUGACUUGAAGAGGUCCUUCACAUGCUCCGCAGCCUCAUGUGUGAAUGGUGGGCACAGAAACCUUCCUGUCACCUUAAGAACAUGGGAGACAUCUAGGCUGUUUCCAGUUUUUGUCUAUUAUGAAUAGAGAAGCAAUAAAUGUGAUUGAGUAAGUGUCUCUGCAGUUGGAUGAAACAUGGCCUAUACCCAAGUGUAUAGUUGGAUCUUGAGAUGGCCACUUUGCCCUAUUGAUGAUGCUCUUUGCUGUGGAGAUGGUUUUCAAUUUAAUGAGAUCUACUGGAUUAAUUGUCAAUUUCAGUGCCUGAUCUAGCCAUGCUCAGGAUGAUAAGCAUGGGUCUACUUGGAUUUCUCUGCAUGGAGCCAUUAAGUUUUACCAGAACCAUUUGCUGAAGAUUCUGUCUUCUUUCCAGUGUGUAUUUCAGAAUUUAUCAAAAUUCUGGUGUCAAUAGAUGGACUACAAGGAGAAAUACACCCACUGGGUCUUCUAUCGCUCAGAUAUUCAAUUCAGCACCAUCUGCUUCUGCAUCACUGAUUAUCAUCAUAUUAAAUCGACUUUCAAAGACAGAGCCUCUGUUCAGUCCUUUUCCAGAGGGAAUGGGUAUUGCUCACCUGUGAGUCUUCUUGAAAGGGAGGUUCGUUAUGUUUAGCCCUUGGUGAUGGCACACUGCUGGUGUGCAGACUGCUUUCAGAGCAGUAUGGUCCUGCUCUUCUUCCAUACACCUGAGAUACUCUCUUUAAUCUUCCUGAGUAUUUCAAGCUUUAAAUGUUUUCUUUUUUAAAUCUUCUAUUAGAACU